GUCGCUUUGGCCGAGUGGUUAAGGCGCUUGCCUGCUAAGUAAGUGGGGUUUCCCCGCGUGAGUUCGAUCUCACAGGCGACG
rnacentral:tRNA from 1 species